rnacentral:rRNA from 1 species
ACGCUGGCGGCAGGCCUAACACAUGCAAGUCGAUCGGUAACAGGAAGCAGCUUGCUGCUUUGCUGACGAGUGGCGGACGGGUGAGUAAUGUCUGGGAAACUGCCUGAUGGAGGGGGAUAACUACUGGAAACGGUAGCUAAUACCGCAUAACGUCGCAAGACCAAAGAGGGGGACCUUCGGGCCUCUUGCCAUCGGAUGUGCCCAGAUGGGAUUAGCUAGUAGGUGGGGUAACGGCUCACCUAGGCGACGAUCCCUAGCUGGUCUGAGAGGAUGACCAGCCACACUGGAACUGAGACACGGUCCAGACUCCUACGGGAGGCAGCAGUGGGGAAUAUUGCACAAUGGGCGCAAGCCUGAUGCAGCCAUGCCGCGUGUAUGAAGAAGGCCUUCGGGUUGUAAAGUACUUUCAGCGGGGAGGAAGGGAGUAAAGUUAAUACCUUUGCUCAUUGACGUUACCCGCAGAAGAAGCACCGGCUAACUCCGUGCCAGCAGCCGCGGUAAUACAGAGGGUGCAAGCGUUAAUCGGAAUUACUGGGCGUAAAGCGCACGCAGGCGGUUUGUUAAGUCAGAUGUGAAAUCCCCGGGCUCAACCUGGGAACUGCAUCUGAUACUGGCAAGCUUGAGUCUCGUAGAGGGGGGUAGAAUUCCAGGUGUAGCGGUGAAAUGCGUAGAGAUCUGGAGGAAUACCGGUGGCGAAGGCGGCCCCCUGGACGAAGACUGACGCUCAGGUGCGAAAGCGUGGGGAGCAAACAGGAUUAGAUACCCUGGUAGUCCACGCCGUAAACGAUGUCGACUUGGAGGUUGUGCCCUUGAGGCGUGGCUUCCGGAGCUAACGCGUUAAGUCGACCGCCUGGGGAGUACGGCCGCAAGGUUAAAACUCAAAUGAAUUGACGGGGGCCCGCACAAGCGGUGGAGCAUGUGGUUUAAUUCGAUGCAACGCGAAGAACCUUACCUGGUCUUGACAUCCACGGAAGUUUUCAGAGAUGAGAAUGUGCCUUCGGGAACCGUGAGACAGGUGCUGCAUGGCUGUCGUCAGCUCGUGUUGUGAAAUGUUGGGUUAAGUCCCGCAACGAGCGCAACCCUUAUCCUUUGUUGCCAGCGGUCCGGCCGGGAACUCAAAGGAGACUGCCAGUGAUAAACUGGAGGAAGGUGGGGAUGACGUCAAGUCAUCAUGGCCCUUACGACCAGGGCUACACACGUGCUACAAUGGCGCAUACAAAGAGAAGCGACCUCGCGAGAGCAAGCGGACCUCAUAAAGUGCGUCGUAGUCCGGAUUGGAGUCUGCAACUCGACUCCAUGAAGUCGGAAUCGCUAGUAAUCGUGGAUCAGAAUGCCACGGUGAAUACGUUCCCGGGCCUUGUACACACCGCCCGUCACACCAUGGGAGUGGGUUGCAAAAGAAGUAGGUAGCUUAACCUUCGGGAGGGCGCUUACCACUUUGUGC